rnacentral:rRNA from 1 species
AUUCCGAACAGGACAGUGAAACGCCUCUGCGCCGAUGAUAGUUGGUUGUAUUUCCAGUGAAAGUAGGUCAUCGCCAGGC